GACGAACGCUGGCGGCGUGCCUAAUACAUGCAAGUCGAGCGCAGGAAACUGACGGAACUCUUCGGAGGGAAGGCAGUGGAAUGAGCGGCGGACGGGUGAGUAACACGUAAGGAACCUGCCUCAAGGAUUGGGAUAACUCCGAGAAAUCGGAGCUAAUACCGGAUAGUUCAUCGGACCGCAUGGUCCGUUGAUGAAAGGCGCUUCGGCGUCACCUUGAGAUGGCCUUGCGGUGCAUUAGCUAGUUGGUGGGGUAACGGCCCACCAAGGCGACGAUGCAUAGCCGACCUGAGAGGGUGAUCGGCCACACUGGGACUGAGACACGGCCCAGACUCCUACGGGAGGCAGCAGUAGGGAAUCUUCCACAAUGGACGAAAGUCUGAUGGAGCAACGCCGCGUGAGUGAUGAAGGUUUUCGGAUCGUAAAACUCUGUUGUAAGGGAAGAACACGUACGAGAGGAAAUGCUCGUACCUUGACGGUACCUUACGAGAAAGCCACGGCUAACUACGUGCCAGCCGCCGCAGUAA
rnacentral:rRNA from 1 species